GACGAACGCUGGCGGCGUGCUUAACACAUGCAAGUCGAACGGAAAGGCCCUGCUUUUGUGGGGUGCUCGAGUGGCGAACGGGUGAGUAACACGUGAGUAACCCGCCCUUGACUUUGGGAUAACUUCAGGAAACUGGGGCUAAUACCGGAUAGGAGCUCCUGCUGCAUGGUGGGGGUUGGAAAGUUUCGGCGGUUGGGGAUGGACUCGCGGCUUAUCAGCUUGUUGGUGGGGUAGUGGCUUACCAAGGCUUUGACGGGUAGCCGGCCUGAGAGGGUGACCGGCCACGGUGGGAACGAGUACGGGCCCAAGCUCUGAGGGGUGGCGGGCGAGGGGAAGGUUCCAGAAGGGGCGGAGGCGUGUGCCGGCAGACCGCGCUGGGGGUUGUAGGCUUCUGGGUUGUAAACCGAUUGUGCGGGAAACGAAGCGUAGUGCAGGGAAAGGAUGAAAAAGGACCGGGUAAACUAGUG
rnacentral:rRNA from 1 species